rnacentral:lncRNA from 1 species
AUGAAGGUUAUACCUCAAAACAAACACACCCCAAUCAAAAUAUACAACUUGUUGAGUUUGACCAUUAGUGUAACUGUGGCUUUAUGAAUUUGAAGUUUAGAAUCCCUUCCAACAUUGUUUUGGCUUGUCCAUAGAUAUCAAACUCUACCAUACUCAACUGGCGAGACAAGCGAAGUUAAGGAGAAAGCGAGGGUGACGAGAAAAGAUAAGAAGAAAUUUCACAAAAAGGUAUUUUCUCUUCUCUUUAGAUUUGAAGAAUAUGAAAACUCGCAUGAUUAUAUGAAGGUUUUAUAUUGAAAUUUUAGGUUUUGUGCUUUGUAAAAUUUUAUUAAGCCCAAAAUCAUUUCAGAUCCUAAAUAAGUUAUUUGUCUGAUUAAACACGGAAUUGUGCGUCGAUUCCUCUUUGUAUGGUUAAGUUUUGAUUAGUCUUGUUUAAAACACUUCCCAAAAUCAUCAUUUCAACUGUAUUAAACACAGAGUUGUAGAUCGAAUAAUGUUAGUUAUAAGUCGAUUUAAUUUGUUCUUUCGCAAUAUAUAUGAAGAAUAAUAAGCAACAAAAAGUACAUAGGAAAUAAUAAUGGUAGUUCAAAAUAUUCCACCAGAAAUCAAGCAUAUACUUUCCAAAAUUUUCACUGAAAAUCCAAACGAAUAGUAUUCAGGUUUGUUGAAUCACACUCAGCUAGUGAGAUAGAGAGGUUUGAUAGGAAGAUCGAGACGAGCCAAGUUAAGGAGAGGGGAAGGUUGACUCGGAAAAGUCAACCGAGACGAGCAAAGAUAAGAAGAAAAUUCACAAAAAAUGUAGAUUUUUCUUCCUCAUUAGAUUUGAAUAAUAUGAAAACUGUAUGACUAUACUAAGUUUUUAAUCGCAAACUUUGCGGUCCAUUUUAAUAAAUAAGGUGUAUAAUUUCUUUAUGGAUUUAUUUAUGGAGGGUAGGUUCUAUUGAGAUAUGUAUUUUCAUGAGACCAUGAGUACAAUGAAUAAGACAGUAUAUAAUGUUGAACCUAGGAAGAAAAAAAAAUUCCCCUCCAAAUAAAUAUAAGUCAUAUGAUAUAUUAAAUCAACGCUUAUAAAUCAAUCUAAGAUCUCACUAUAUGAGGCAUCUCAUUGGAACGCUAUUUAUGGAUAUAUAAAUCCAUAAAUAAGGUAUAUACAUAAUUUCUUUAAACUCCAAUUUUAAUAUAUAUGAAUGCUAAUUUUGAUUUAUUAUUAAGUAAUCUUUUGACAUGUAGACGCAUUUCCUAAUCAAGUUGCCAAGUUAGACAGAAGAUGUGUCGUCAUUGCUUGCGAAAGUUGAACCUUAAUUAAUUUAAGACCCCUAAAAAAAGUUGAAUAUUUAAGAAGUAAAAGAAAUAUUAAUAUGUUUUGGUCCUAGGAUCGAUAUUGGAUCAACUAUUUAAUUUGGAUUUCUCUUAGAAGGACACAAUGAACAUAUAAUAGUAAUAGUAGCAAUAUUAUAAUUGUGUAAGCCACCAAACGCGGAAGGACCUCAUGGAUCCAUAUAGUCAUCACUAUGUAAAGAUGAAAUUAAUUUCAUCAAGAUUUUUGGUCUCUUCCUUGUUUAGUUUGACUAUAUAGUGUAAAAUUCUUUUCAAGUUUGUUUUGACUUGAAAGAUAUCACAUUCUACCCUUCAAAUCAAAGGAUUCAUUGGAAGAUCAAGAUGAGCUAAUUUCAUGAGAAGGGAGGAUUGAAUCAGAAAAUCGAUCAAGACGAGCAAAGAUAAGAAGAGAAAUUACGAAAGGGUAACUUUUUCCUUCUCUGUAGACUAGAAUAAUUUUAAAAUUCACAUGUAUAUGAUGUUUUAAAUUGUAUCGAAAAUUAAAUUCACAUGAUU